AACCAUGAUGGAGACACAAGUUAAGUAACUCUUUAAAAUAUUCUCAUGUUUGAUAUAGAGUCUCACUAUCCUUUUGUGUAAAAGUUGAGAUUUAUCUUUUCAAAGCAU